CUUCAGCUAUACCCGCAAGUCCUAGUCCCACCCCCGCUACCCCGUGUCCUGGGGACCGGGUCAAGAUGUGCGUAGGUGCUGGGAGGUAGACACCCCUCCUUCCUAGCCCCAGGCGUCACCCACGCCCAGGCCAGCACUGGAUCUUCCACUUACCUAACCUCCCCUCUCCCAAGUCCCAAGGCCACCCCCUGUGCCCCUCCUGAGAGCGGGUGACAAGCUGCUGAGACAGUGUCUGAUUCACCGACAGCUGAACCAGCUAUGCGUACUCGGAGGUUUGCACUAUAAGAAAUGCUAAAGAAAACUCUUCAAGAUGAAAGAAAAUGAAACCUGAUGGAGACUCAGAUCUUUGGGAAGGAAUGAAGAGCAUCAUAUAUGGAGAGCAUCACCUUGUGGUCAGUGAGUUCAAACUCCCGGGCUCUGCUACCGAUGGAGACAGUCUGUUGUCGACCUUGAGCGACUUUCACAUUCUCUCUGGAUGCCUGUUUCCUUGCUUGUGAAUAAACCAGGAGCAGACCAGAGUGAAAGUGGGAGACCAAUUCAGAGGCAAUUUCAGUGGUCCAGGUGGGAGAGGAUGGAGACCUGGACAAGAUGAUGGCAGAUGGAGAUGGAGAGAAGAGGUGGGCUUCAGAUUCAUGUUGGACAUGGUGUUCACACCUUGGUGAUGGUUUGGACAUGGGACAUGAGAGAGAAAGGAACUUCAUGAGUGAUUUCUGGCUUGAGUAUCUGAAUGGGUGGUGGUGACAUUUACUGAAAUGGGAAAAUGGGGAAAGGGUUGAUUUUGGGUCAUGUAUUUAUAAUGACGCAGUUGGCACAGUCAUGUGACUUUCUCCAGCAAUGCUUAGCUGGCACAGAAGAGGUGGGCUGUAGGUUUCAUCCACAGGUGAGUGUUUGCCAGGACUGGGCAGCAGGAGAGAAGUAAGGGAGCUGAAGGGACUUGCAAGGGAGUCAUUAGCAAACUGUUGGACUAGGAACUCUAAACUCAUUGACAGGGAAAUGAAGGCAGAAAGGGGCAGUUGGUCAGAGACAAGAUGGUGGAACCAGUGGGUCAACAGUGGGGCUAUUAGAGAAAGUAAGCUGGAAGGAUAAGAGCAAGUGGUCUUCUUCAUCUUGGUACCCACAGCUCCUACACAGCUUCUGAAAUAUAGUAAAAGCUCAGUAAAUAACUGUGUUUAAACUGAGGUCAUUGUUGGCCUGAGGAUGGAUCUUAGAGGGAUGGGGUUGCACCUUUCUCUAGUCCUCUAUUUCUUGGGUUCAGUGGUCUUUCUGAAUGAGUCCAUUCUGUUUCUCUGUUCAAUUUUUUCCUUUGGGAUCAGCACACAAGAACUUCUCUGCUUCCAGUCCCCAGUGGGAUAUGAACACGAUAGUUACUGCUGGGCUGUCCCAAAGUCACUCUGUGCUUGUGGGAAGCUGGAUGGACUGUGGACUGAUCUCUGGACGUUCAUUCGUUCAUUCGUUCAUCCACCCAUUCAUUCAAUAAACCCUCACUGAGCAGCUACUACAUACCUAUCUCCUUGCUAGGUUUUGAGUUAACAAAAUGAAUGAAUGAGUAAAUGGCCAAUAAAGUUUUGUUCAUUAGGGAGCUACAAAUUGUAGCACUUGAGUUUCUGGACUUGAACUUUUUGGGUCUGUCCAUCAUUCACAGUCAUAUUGAGACUAGAGGGGACAGCCUUUAUUCUUUAGCCUGCUGUGUUGUUUUAAAAUUUUACCAAAAUGUAUAAUACUCUGAAGACACACAAAAGAAAGAAAUCCUUCCAUGGUGUCUAAAAAUGUACAAAUGCAUCUCUCCAAGAGCCGGGGUCAGGUCAGCAGUUAUGCCUUCAUCAAGGGCGGGAUUCAGAUUCUCACCCCUUUAACAUUUUUUAAACCAUGACAUAUUAUUUUUUUAGGAUGGUUUUACCUACCUAAGGGUAAUGCUCACCAAUUCUUCUUCAGAAGUUGCGCUGUCUUCCACGUGAGACAUUUAAUUUUAAUUAAUCGAAUCAGCCAUUUGUUUUGUUUUUCCAAACCCUCCGCCACUCCCAGGUAAUCUGAAGAAAUCUCUCCCCAAAGGGAGCCAGGCUUUUGCGUGCUCCGGUGUCAGCCCUUUCCACUGUUGCCUCCAGCAGGUUGGAGGGACCAAGUCUCAGGUAUUUGCUGAGCGUCUGGCACAACGGGGUGCAUAAGCGCUGUUCAUAAAUUCUGGUGUGACUAAUGGAUUGAUAUAAAUCUCAUUAGGGCUAGGAUUGUGCCUCUGUCCCCAGCACCUAGAACAGUGCCUCCUACCAUUAGGUGCUCAAUGAAAAUGUUUGUUGAAUGAAUGCAUGAGUGAAUAUUACUGGGGACUGUUGAGCUUUGUAAAUCCAAAAAUGUGCUCUAGGGUCGACUCAUUUGAUUCCCUUCCAGCUUUCAGCGGUGAUAUGAAAUAGGGCUGUGAUUUUAGAAUGUUUUGCUUGUGCUCUGCAUCCUUUUUUGGGGAGGUGGGGAAGAGGUUAGCAGGCCGAAGCAUCCUUAACCAACACACCAAUCUGAGCUGCUCCUCCUCAUCCAUUCUCUAUCUUGCGGAAAGUGCCACUCCAACCAAAUCAGUGAAGUGAAAAAAGAAAACAAAGCUGGGUUUAAUUGUUACUCCUAUCCCUUACACAAGAGUGCCACGACUGAAAAUACAGAGGGGCAGCCUGAGGGGCUGUAAAUAGAGAGACUAGAAAGUUAGGAAAGAAGACUCUGAAAGAGCAUCACUUUUGGAGCCUUUCUUGAGGAUCUCCUCUGUCACCUGCAGCUUGCUCUGUGUCUUGGCUUAUGUUGGAGGAAUGCUUACUCCUCACUCAUGAUGCUCUUUCCAUGAGAAGGGGCCUUCUGUUCCAUCAACAAUGCUGGCCUUUCCAUACCCUUCCACUCAUUCCUCCCAGGAAAGGAUAGGUGACAUAACAGAGUGGUGAGUUUGAGAUGAGGAAUUGAGUUGUGUAGCCCAGUCUCUGCCUCUCUUGGGACUGACCUGUCAGCAAAGAGCCCCAUUCUGCUCUGCUCCAGUAUCCUCUAUAGAGGGCAGGCUAUGCAUCUGUUGGGGGCCUUGUAAUCAUGCAGUGCUGCCUGCGACUGGGUGGGUAAGGCUGCCUAAUUUUGGGAUUCAGUACUAGAAAGCUCAUUAUUGCUGCACACCUAAGACACAUCUUCCCGCCCAACCUUGAUGAGUAAUGUCAUAGUCGGUUUAGGCUGCUGUUAGAAAAAUACCAUGGAUGGGGUGGCUUAAAUGACAAACAUUUAUAUUUCACAGCUCUGGAGGCCGGGAAGUCUGCAAUCAGGGUCCAGCAUGGUUGGGUUCUGGUGAGGGCUCUCUUUCUGAUUUGCAGAUGGCUAACUUCUCCCUGUGUCCUUGCGUGGUGGAGAGCAGACAGAGAGGAAGCAAGCUCUCUCAUGUCUCUUCUUAUAAGGGCACUAAUCCUAUCACGAGGGCUCCACCUUCAUGAUCUAAUUACCUCCCAGAGGCCCCCUCUCCAAACAUCGUCACACUGGGGUUAGGGUUUCAAUGUAUGAAUUUUGGGAGCACGCAAACAUUCGAUCCAUAGCAAGUAAUAAGGAUGAGUUUUUCAUCUCCAUCUGCCUGACUCCUGUGGCUUUCUCUCAUUUGGUGCCAAACUUGGGUGAGGAAGGGACCCCCUCAAAUACCAAUAGCUGAGGUCUAGUGUUUGGAUGUUUGGGGAUUGAUCUGGCUGAAAGGGACAGAGACAAGCAGGUAGAGUUUCUUUGGUUCAGUGCUUAACCAGUUUGCACAGAGCAAAUCCCCUUUUCUUUCUAUGGGUGCCGCAUGCACGAUGCCCUAGCUCUCAGUGCUGUUGCUGCUCCUUCCCUCUGCUAUGCUGCUUUGCUGCAGCCCUUGUUUUCCAGCAUCCUCCAUCUGAUAACAUCACGGGGAGAGAGGGGAACGUUAGGAAAAGAGAGCAGGAAGAGAGGGCAGAAGCGUUCCCAGUAGUAGCCCUGCAGGCAGCACCCUUGUUUAGUGCAAACUGACUCUUCUUCAGCCAAGCAGAUGCUUAAGACCCAAGUUUCAUUAGGCUGAAUUCCUUCCCAUAGGGCACCUUGGUCCCUCAUGCAAAUGAAACUCUUCAUGAGCCAACCCCGAUAGCUGAAGAGGCCAUGUCUGAGUCUGAUAAUGCUCUGUAUAAUAUAUGUAAAACACACAAUAAUGCAUACAUACACACCUACAUUUUAGGAUGCAAUGCUACAGGUGAAUACAUAUAUGCACAAGGAAGCAUGUGUGUACACAUACAUUUGCUACAUAUAAUAAAACAACUCUUCCCCAAUUAAAAUUCAAAGUCAAUAAAGGUAAGGAAGGGACUGUUUCUGUAUUUCUUCUGUCCUCAAGGUUAGCUCUUCGAGUCAAGCCUCUCUUCCAAGUCGGGAUUUAAUUUCCUUGGAAAGAUAGUCUAUGGAAGGCAAGAAGUGCAGGACCUGGGUCCUUUUUCUGACCACGUCUCUGGCUGUAUGACCUGGAGCACAACCGUCCUGCUUCAAAGCCUGCGUUUCACUGCAUAGUACGUAGGGUAGAGGCUGUGCUGCGUUGGCUCUCCUAGCUCCUUCUGUGGAUGUAUACUCUGAACAAAUAGCCAACGAUUUGUAGGUGGCCAGAGGAAGAUAUGGAGGGAAGGAGAAGGUGGUGAGGUUUAAAGAGACAGGAAAUAUGGCAGCCCUCAUUUACUGGAGAGCUACGUAUUAUACAAUCGGCAAAGGAUGGGGUCUAGGGGUUCCAAUGGAAUCAUUGCCUACCUCAUCAGUUACUGCAAGAAUGAUAGAAACAACUGUGAUUGGCUUUGCACUCUUUAGAAAAAAAGGCAUUUGCAGGUGUGGCAGAGAGGAAGAGAGAGAGAAAGAGAGAGAGAGAACAGGCUGUGUGCUUGGCACUUUGUCGGGUGCUGUGAGGGGCACAGGGGUGGACCAGCCGCGGACCCUUCCCAAUUGCUCGUCAUCUCUGGCGAGAGAGGUCAGCCGCAGGCUCCGGAGAAAUAGCUCCUUAAGAGCGGGACAGGAAAAGUGCUGUGGAAUUUGAUAAACUAGAACUGAUAUCUAAAACUCUCUACUUGAGUCAUUGAGCAUUUGCAAGACAGAUUCCUUCAGGAGAGGGCCCCACAGGACUCUUGUUUGGGCUCUCACCUCACUUAUCCCAUGGAAGGCAUGAUCAACAGUGACUGAAUGUGUUGGCCCACAUUAUUUACAAACACCGUGCUUGAACCGUGGUUAGGCAGAGACGUAUUUGGAGAAGGUUUUGUGCUCACUACAGCUCUGUGCUAGAAAGGUCUGACUCGAAAUGCUUCAAUUGAGUUUCUUAACUAUUUACCUUGGUCCUUCGUGUUUUUUGUUUUCCAGUUCUUCCUCAAACACGCUCUUUCUCUUCUUCCGAAAACAGUCAGAUGGCUGAGUCUAAUGGGACUGUGAUUAUCUUACUAGAAAGACAGCACUUUGCAAAGCUUGCUUUAUAUUAGAUUCCCUUCAAAGUCUACACAGGGCGUGUGAGCAUGAGGGCAAUGACAUCCACAUAAGGCCUACAGCUGGAAAGAACAUUCUUAGAGCGGGAAGUGCUGUGUGAACAGUUGUCUGCUCUGCCCCAACUGUUGCCACAUGUGGGUGGGGCCCCCUGAAGGAGAAGGCAGAAGGGCUCUAGGUUUCUGGGGUACAUAUUAGGCUCUGAGCCACAGUUACCGCUACUAUUAUUAUUUAUAGUUAAAACUACUCAGUUAGUAUUCAUGGAAAAUUUCUAAGGUAGGAAUUAUUGUGACCUGCCGUUUACAAUUUGAAAGGACAUGCAAUUUCACUAAGGUUAUAUCAAUAGUAAAAGGCAGAACCAGGAUUCAAACCAGGCUCCAAGAUUUCUCCCCCACCUUUUCUUUUUUGGAGAGGAAGAUUGGCCCUGAGCUAAUACCUGUGCCCAUCUUCCUCUGUUUUGUAUGUGGAAACACCACCAAAGCAUGGCUUGAUGAAUGGUGUAGGUCUGUGCCUGUGAUCCGAACCCACGAACCUGGGCCACUGAAGCGGAGUGCACCGAACGUAACCACUAUGUCACUGGGCCAGCUCCCAAGUUCUUUCCCUUUUGUUGAAGGAAUGAUUUAGUGAAGGAAUGACUAGUGAUAUCGUGAUACGCACCAGCCGAACUUUCACUAGGAAUUGACCUGAUUGUUGAUGUUUUGUAAUUUGUGUACUUUCCCCCCAGUAUUGGCAUGAUUCUUUAUCUAAAUUCAAGAGGUCACUUCUUAACUAAGCAUUUCAGUGUUAGGAGGCACCAUCAAUCAACCAACAAAUUUUGGUCUCUGUAUAUUGAUACCUAGGUGCCUGCCAAGGUGAAUUUAUGGAGAGUAUCAGAUACUCUUCAAAUGCUCAUUUUAGCCAACUAUUUCUUUCCCAGUUUUAAUGUGGAUAAUGUAUAGUAACACUGAAUGAACUUACAUUCUCUGUGCUCUCUCCUCACUCGUGUGGGGUAAAUGAACCCAAGGUGACCACUGAGGAGGCCGCAGGAAAGAAAGAAUGAAGGGACUGGCAUGAUUCAUAUCUUGAAAGCUAGUGUUUGAAUAAUGAGGAGUCACUUAUGAUUACUAUUAGAAUUUCCCCAUUCUUCCUCUUCUUGUUCUAGUGACUUUCAAGUCCCUGGAGUAUUUUAUUGUCAUUUCUGAUACAUAGACAGCUAAAGUGGGUAUCACCCUUAAGAACUUACAGAUGGAAGUUGACAACGCCUCUGCGAGAAAGAGGUAUCAUUACUGUCAUUCACGGAGAGCCUGAGAGUCUAGGCCUCCAUGCCUGCUCCACUGGCUACAAGUUCAGGACUCUCCAGAGCCCCAGGGUGUUCUCCUGGGAGCUUCUCCUCCCUCCCCUCCACCGCCACUUGGAGACUGUCACCUGCCUUGGAGGAGAAUUCUUAUUGAGAGUUCCUAAGCCCUGGAUUUUCCAGACUCAGUCCUCUGCCUCUCAGUGAUCAGCUCACGAGAGUUUGCCCUGAAACGUACACAGUGAUUUCUGUGCUACUUUUUGGUAUUUCCUGCUGGAGCUCGGUCUGGGUGGAGUUCCCUGUGGAAGUGCCAGAGUUUUCCUGUUUGUGCAGUUGAUUUUCAAAACCUUAAAUAAACUCUGUUGUGAUGUGUUCAGAAUCAUAACAACUCAACAACUAAAAUAGGUGCCUACUAUGGGCCUGGCACGGUUCUAGCAGCUGGGGAUACAACAGUGACCUCAGCAGACCCUGCUUUCAAAGAGCUUGCGCUUGGGUCCAGGACACUGAUUAGCAAACAGGCAUUUGCCCUCCGCGUGCUAAGUGCUGUGAAGGACAAAGUCCAGGGUGUUGGAGGUUGGGGGGGUGGUGCACACAGCAGGGGCAGUGACUGAGCCCAGCCUCGGGAGUGGCAGGGCUUGGGGGUGUGGGAAGUGCCAGCAGAGGCUUCCUAGAGCCCGAGCCAGCUAAACUGUAUCCUAACUACCAGAAACUAAUUUUUGUAGACUCUGUUCUCAAUUAUCUACAAGUAGAUGAUUGCACUUAAUUUGCAAGAAAACUUUUUGCAAUGGCUUGAGUAUUUCAAUUUCCUCUAUUUAUAAUACAUGUUACAUAGAGGCAUCAAAUCUCACAAGGACAGAGCUUCGGCAGCCCAGAUAGCCUGCUCAAAGGAGGGUUUGGGACGAGUGAAACACUGCAUUUCCUGCUUGGGACCGAAGAGAAGGGAGAAAGGAGAUAGGGGUGGGGGGCAUUGAAGUGCUUCCCAAGCUUCCGACCAUUCAGGUCUUUAUAGGGAGCGUCAUUAUUUCAUCUGAAGUGUAUUUUCAGGGUGUCAAGCAGGCACAUCUCUGUUCAAAUACCAGAUAGGCAACAAAACACAUUCCAGAGCCACCAGAUGUAAAUGACUCGUGGAUGAUUCUCUUUUUAGCUUCUCCAGGCCAUUGUUCCCCUCCAUUAGCGCAAAUAAUAAAGACCAACUUCUUGCCAAAGGAAAGAAUAGGGGGUGGGGUUGGGAACAAUGCAAAGGCUUCUGUGUGUCUGGCCAGACGAGUUCCCUGUGAUUAGUCUCCGAUCCACUUUUGAUCUCUUGGUCAGACAAUAAAAUGCCUAUUUAAUUUAAAAAUAAACUUUAUUAAGGUUUAAUUUACAUGCAAUAAAACACACCCAAUUUAAGUAUGCUGUUCUUUGAGUUUUGACAAAUGUAUACACGGAGGCAACCACCUCCCCAACCAAGACAUGGAAAAUUUUCAACUCGCCAAAGUUCCUUUCGGCCUUUUUAGUUACCCUAGCCCCAGCCCCGGGCAAGCGCUGACCUGCUUUCUGUCACUAUAGAUUAAGUUUGCCUGUUUUAGAAUUUCCAAUAAAUGGAAUCAUACCAUAUUUUUUCUUUUGUGUCAGGCUUUUUCACCCAGGAUCAUGUUUUUGAGAUUCAUUCUUGUUGUUCUUGUAUCCAUAAUUCCUUCUUUUUUAUUUAAAAUGCUGAUUUUUGAAGUAGCAAGCAACUGUUCAAGGUACCACUCAGGAAGAUGAGCAAAUCGAGGAAGUCCCUCUGGCCUAAAAAUUCUAUCAACUUGCCCAGGAAAUGAAGGCCUGAGAAUUGCACCAGGUUAGUACACACCGCAUUUAAGAACCAGCCAGGCACAGGAAUUUCUGGGCUCCAGGAGGCCCGGACGAUGGGGAAAGAUGAAACCUUGGUGAAUGAUAGAAUGCAUUACAGAGGAUGACAGGGCUAUUUGUUCAGUUCUGUUAUGAGUUCAGCAAAAUGUGACAAUCCUGGGAAAUAUAAAUAUAUAUUGCUAUAUUUAUAUGUGCAUUUGUCUCAGGAGACCUGGCGGGGAGUGGUGGGUAGCAGAGUGCGUUCCUGUAGGAUUGGAGUAGGCAGAGAUAACUGGGUAAAGCAGAGCCUGUCCCAGAUCACGUCAAUGCACAGUCAAUAAAUACAAAUGACCAUGAGAGCUAAUAUUUAUUGAGCACUUACUAUGCAUCAGGCACUGUGCUAUGUCUGUUGUAUGCAUUGCUUCAUUUAACCUGUGCCCACAUCCUGUGUAGCUCUGCCUAAGUCCCCUCGCAUCCCUUUCCCAUAUUCCUGCACACUGUUAUCAGCGUGUGCUGUGCUCCCAGCAGCCAGCACCACGGCUCUGUGUGGGGGACAGUCCUCGAGCUACUGGAACCGCUUUGCUUCCCAGCUCAGAGAGCAGAAGUUCCUGAGACUUUACCGGUGACCAGCCAGUGCAGGGGACAAUCACCCCAGCUCCCUCUGUCACCUGUCUUGUUCCCAGUCCUCCCCUCCAUGGCAUUUUGCUUGAUUCUCAAUCUUGCUUGGCCCCCUUCCCUUCCCUAGUCCCACUCCUCAGUUUGGGGACACUUCUUAAUAAACCACGUUCACAUGAGUCCUCAUCUCAGGUUUGGCUUCUGGGGACCCCAAACUUAGGCAAGAUACUGUUAGUACAGUCAUUUUACAAAUGAGGAAACUGAGGUUGUCUCUCUCUCUCUUACAUACACAUACACUCUCUUUCUCCCUCUCUUUUUCUUCUCUCCCUCCCUCCCUCCCUCUCUCCCUCCCUCUCUCUCUCUCUCUCUCUCUCUCUCACACACACACACACACACACACACAUACACACAUCGAGCUAACACCUACUCAUCCUUCAGAUGAAAGCUUGAACUUCACCCUCUCAGGCGGUCCUCCCUGAUUCCCAGUCUAGCUGAAGGCUCUCAGAGCCGUCCUUUGUAGUGCUCACUUUGGUUCUCAGUCUACAAUGAUCUGUGUGAUGAUUUUCACUAGUCACCAUCCCCCUGCUAGACUGCUGGCUCUGGGAGUUCAGGGACCCCAUCUCUUGUGCUCUUAGCUGUAUCUCCAGCACCCUAGCAGAGCUUCUAGAACAUAGUGAUUGCUCAGUAAAUAUUUCCUGAAUGGACGAAUGAUUUGAAGUUCCUUUAAUUUCCUCACAGGUGCUCGCUGGCCUCCUAGAUGCAUCUCAGACUCUGCAUGGGCCAGAAAUGAGUAAUGUAUAACCCCCAAGGGUGACAUAAGAUCUCCCACCCAAUUCUGUUCUUCUGGGUAUUUAGGGAAGAGCAAUAUCCAGGGCAAGGUGAUGGUACUUCGCUCCACGGGACAGAAAUUUAGCAUCAACUGGAGAGUUGAAUCUAGAGGGUGGUCUGGGAGGCUGGGUAGAAUUGGAUUGAUUAUUAGGAGAAAAUUCGAAUAAUAUCAUUUAAGUACACACACAUUCUGAAUUAAAUACACAUUUGUGGAUCCCUGUACUUCUUAAUAAAAGGACACUUAGUUCCAAGUUCUCGUUAAGAAGCUGAUAAGCAUCCAUUUUCUUCUAUUCCGACAAUGAUUAUUCCUCAACUCUAUAAAAUUUACAAACUGCUUCGGAAGCAUUGGUGGAGAAAGGUGCUGUAUGAAUAUAUGAGAUUAUUGAAAUAAAUGCUGAUUUAGAGAUUUCCCAGGUGGAGAGUUAAAAUAUACUGGGGCACAUGCACUCACUCUCACCCCACCCUCAGGGUACUUUCCGCUCUGAUCAGCGGAGAUAAAUUUUCCGACCUGACAGUUGACUGUAAAUCAAGAAGUGUGUUUUAAUAGUCACCACCUUUCUGCUUCUGUGUGCUGCUGUCUGAGGCAAUCCUUCACCUCCCGGGACACAAGACCUGAAGGAUUUUGGCACAUUCUCUCCCCUGCACGUGGAGAGGUGGUGCUUAGCAGCAAGGUAAAUAUUGGCAGGCUUGUAGGCGAGCAGUGAAUAUAAAUAAGUCAGGACAUCCUUAGAAAAGUUCAUCUCUGGAUCCACCGUUCUUUUUGCCAAUAGGUAAGAAAAUAGAAAAUCAUGAGUUUCUCAGGUUUUUGCCAAAUCACAACAAGAUAUUUUUGUAACAAUAUAAAAGCUAGAAAGUAUUUGAGAGUCAGUAAAUGCUGAAUAAAUAAUUCUGAAGGUGAACACAUGCCCUUAUUGCCACAAGCCCUGAUUACUGGGUUGGAUUACUACACUUGCUCCUCCUGACUUUAUCCCUCAUAAUCCUGUCCAUCAACGUUUGCUUGGAGUAACGCAAAUAAACCAGGCUGUUCCAUGCCCCAGUGUCUUUGCACCUGCUGCUGUUUAUGCCCGGACUGGAACCCUUUCCAUUAAUCCACGUGGGCCAGGGACAUUUUCUGAUCUUUCAACACUUGGUACCAGGAUCACCUUUAAUUUGCUUUAUGAAGCUUUUCUUGACAAACUCUCUCACUCCCAGACCUGCCACUUCAUCCUGUACAAAUGUGAUUGCACAUGUCUAUUUAACACAAACAUCACUGGCCUCUCUUGGCAAGUCUCUGCUCAUAUCCUGUACUCCCUCUGAGGCCAUAAUCAACACUUCAUUGCUACCCAGUUGCCCUUUGUGACUUCUCAAGCCUCUUCCCAAAGCAUUUUGAGUAAUGUAGCUUUUACUGAAAUGUUCACAAGGGAGAAAAGUGGAGGGCUUACACUGAACACCAUGUGGCCAAACUUCAUAAAAAUCUCCAUCAUUCCAAAAGCCUGUUCUCCUUUUGCCAGCUGCCUUCUCUCCUCUGUCUCUUCCAUUCUCUGCUCUCCUCUAACCUCCUUUCACCCUUGGAUCCCUCAACACGGCCACAAUCCCAGCUCACAAUCCAGCCCUUUCAGCCCUUUCUCCUUCAUUAACUUGUGUCCUUGAAGUUUUAGGUCCUAUUCAUCAAACAAAGUAUCUCUGUGAGAUCACUCCCCUUUAAAAGGCAAGGGUCACAAAAUCUCCACAUUUCUUCUCCUUCCACUAAAGACUGGAGCAACUUGAGGGUAGGAAUCAAGCCCUAUACACUUUUGCAUCUCUUCUGCAAAAUAUUUAAAAUAUUGUGAAAUGGAAGAAGAAAUAAAUGAAAAAAUAUAGCCACAGGUUAAAAUCCCCAAAGCCCCACUCUAAUCACAGUUUUCUUCUGUUUGAAGAUCUUCCUUACCUCGUGAACUCAUGCUUUGGUCAUCUGCCAUUUCUCCCUGACUCUAGCACUCUGCCCCGCCAUGAUGGGCCCUCUCCACUCCAGCCCACUGGGCGUGUUCUUGCCCUCAGGUGCUCAUUCGGGUUGUCUCUCCAGGCCUAGAAUAAUCUAUGUCAUUCAUGAGGAUGGUUGGCGGUGGUUUACCAUCACCCUAUUGGAGGCCAAGGUAGACGCAACUGUUCUGGUUUCGUAGGUCCGUCCUAACCCUUCCCAGUCUUCAAGGCUCAGUGCGGGUCUUUGCUUCCUCAGCAGACUUCAUGGAGGUCUGCAGUCCAGGCGUAAUGCUCUCUCUCAUGUCCUUAGGACAUAAGCCUUGAACACAUCCACUCUGAUGGCACUUAAUCAUUCAGCCUUAUAUCAUUGUUAAAUUUGGGGUAUGAGGCCUUGAGGUCAUCCUCUUUCCAAAAUGUGGUCAUCAUUAGGUCUGUUCACCAAAAUUUUAGGUGUUUUCCUCAUUUCUAGACUUGUGGUAAGUUUGUACUUGUCUAACCCCUUGAAGCUAUGUGUGGCUGUCUAAUUGACUCUGGCUAAUGACAUGUGAACAGAAUUGACAUAAGCCCCUUUGGGAAAUAAGCUUUCAGAGGAAGAGUGAUGGAUCAUGCUGUCUUUCCCUCUGACAUGGCGACUGGCAGUGUUUGAGGCAUCUGGUGGAUUGUCCAUCAGCCUGGGUCUGUGAAUGAGGACCCAGCGAUUCACAUGGGCAUUUGGUAUGAGCAAGAAGUAAACCUUUGUUAUGUUAUGCCAUUUAGAUUCAGAGAUUAUUUGAACAAUUAAUAACAUAAAUAAAUAAAUGUGUGUUGCUGCAGCACAACCAAUCCUAUCCAGACAGACUCUAAGUUCCCUGAAGGCAGCACUCAGGUAUAACUCACCUUUCUGUCCCCCAGAGAACAUAGCACAAUGCCUCACGGAUGUUCGAGAACUACUGCUGAUUGAUUAGACAUACUGUGAUAAGGUAAAAUAUAUGAGACUAGAGAGUAGUACUUGGUGUCAGGACUUCAACUUGAGACUUAGCCUCUAAAAAACCAAAAUAAAUGUACGUGAUGAUUUCAGUAGUAUUCCAAUAAGAUCGUUGCAUACAGGGAGGCAGAAGAGUGUAAUGCAAGGAACCUGGGCUCUCUAGCUUGAUAGACCUGGUUCAAGUGCAAGCUUUACCAGGUACUUGGCUGCAUGACCUUGGGCUGGUUAUUUAAGGUCUUUGAGGCUGGGAGAACAUCACUACUUACUAGGAAGGAUUAUUGUGGGGAUUAAACAAGAGAAUGUAUGUAAAGCCCUUGGCACAUAAUGAAUGGUCAACAAACGUCAUUCUCUUAGGCUCUCCUCCCACCAACUGCGUGUGGGUUGGUAUGAACUCUUGCUUAAUUCUCUGGGAACUACUUCCCUUCAUUUACACCCUCUGAGACCUUGGUUGCUCGCCUAGUCCCUGGAUUUCUUUAGCUUGGCCUACCUCAGAUCCUUAGGAUUUUGCUUUCCCUACCCCAUGCACACUCUGGCCUUCUGAGAAAUUCCAUAUGCAAAUGGUCACAGUUGACAGGAGCCCUUGGCAAAGGACUGCAAUGGGGGAAAAGGGUUCUUGAGACAGACUGUCUGCUGCCCCAAAUUUAAAAUAGGGCCCUUGGUAAGGUGUGUAUAGUCAGGGAGGUGAUCUCUAUGGGGAAGAAAGAAUUUAAGAUGUCAUGGUGACCAGUUCCAAGGAAGCCCCACCUUGGCCUGUGCCCUGGCUCUAAUGGCGGGGGGUUCUUCUCUUGAAUCCUGGGAUUGUAUCAGUGAUGGUCGCAGAGAGGUCUGUGAGAUUAUCUUCAAUGACUGACUCCUUCCACAGACUGGGUCUUGGUGUGGGGCCCGAGGGCUUAUGUUUUCUUGGACUCCUGGCCCAGUGAACUGUGUGUUUACAGGUUUACAAUUGUCCCUGACUGAGUCCUUGAGGCCACCUCCCCCCUUCCCCUCCCCAUGGAGCGCAACCGUGAUGUGGCAUAUCUAACCACCCCAAGGUGCUUGUGUAACUUGUUUUUCAAAGUCUUGGCAGGAGCUCCGGUCCUGAAGUGAGAAAGGGUGUUUACAUUCUGGAAGAGCAGUGCCGACAAAUGUCUUGCAUCAGGGCUGUUCUCCACCAAUCUCUGCUUCCCAGUUUUCUUCUCUGUGGGAUGGCUUGUGACAGCCACAGAGAUAGUCUGGGACCUGGAAGAAACGAGCCUGAACGUGAAAGCAGGUAGGCUGUGAGGCGGCCCUCAUGAAGCUUCAGGGCUAUGUAAACCGCCCUCCCUGGAAAGGUGAGGAGCUUCUUGAGGAUGAGGCGUUUGCUGCCCCACUGCCUGGUGCGGGGCCUCACACAGAGCGCAGCGCUGCCUGCAGGCGCUCAACAGACACGCGCUAAGUCAGUACACGGUGAAAAUACGUGGGAAGGCAACAUUUGAGAGGACACAUUGGGAACUGACACCCCAGUUAACAGCUUUCUUGGAACAGUACUUACAGUAAUAACAACAACGGUUAUUGGUUAUACCUCCUCUAUGCCAAGCAAAGGCGUAUAUUAUUUCCUUAAAUUCUACCAUAGUCAAUAGUUCUAGCAAGACGUAGUCCUCUCUCCAGUGAAUAGCGGAGGGCACGGAGACUCAUGGGCAGAGUCUGAGCAUCUCACCGGAGGUCACGGAGACAGUAAACCCGAAUUCCGAGCCCCUUGGGUGCACGGAAGCCAGUGCUUUUCCGCUUCCGGUUCCUCCACACCGCCCCUCACCCCUGCUGUCUCUGCCUCGUGAAACAACGGUAGGGCAGCUGUCCGUUCUUUUCGUCAUUUCUUCCUCUAGCAAAUAGGCGUGAAUUCAGCACGGAAAGAGCACUGGGGCGGCAGCCCCAUUCCAGAUGUCUGCUUUGUCAUCCUUAAGAACACCCGCCCGUGUUCAAGGCCUUCUAGUACCUCAGUCUCGCAACCCUCCCUGGAGAGCGCCCUCCCCUCCCCUCCUCCCUUCCUCCCUCCCUUCCUCGUGGCCACUCAAGGCUUCCUUCUUUUCUUCUUCUGCCUGGCAUCAAGGCCAGGUUUUCACUUCACUAGAAAAACCUUGCUACAGGUGUUAUUCUGUGGACAGUCCCUGGCACUCAAAUGUGCACUCAAUAAAUAUUUACUGAAUUGCACGCUAAAUUCUAGACAAAAGAAGAAAAGAGUGGAUCCAGAAGAAAAUUGAAAAGCUUCGGGAGUGGGGGAGUGAGUGCAAUAACCAACUCUCUUUCCUUCCCCCUGCCCGCCCCCCUCCCUUAGGAGGGAGGCAGCGGCACAGUCAGUGUUAAGGCUGUCAUUUGAUUACAGUAACAUCCAAACAGAUUGAAAAGCUCCCAUCAAUGCCGGAGCAGAAGUGCACACGCAGGGGGUUGUUUCCUUGGAAAUGUUUCAGCUGUGAUUACUUUCCAAAGAGAAAUAGCCAAAACACUUCCUUGACCCUCUGGGGAGAAGAAGUCACAAUUGGACAGAAAGUCAUUUCUGUGGCCUUUCGUUCGUGUGUGUGUGUGUGUGUGUGUGUGUGUGUGUGUGUGUGUGGCGCAUGCGCGUGCCGCUGCACCUUUGGCGUGUACUGUCCGUAGGGCGCCUUUGACAGCCGGUCUAUUCAAAGGCUGGGGCCGUGGGUUGGCGGCUCGGUGCCUGCCGCCGCGGUGGCUGAGAUCAUGCUGUUGAUUUUAUUUUACAGAGAGCAGCCCGGCCUGUUGUGCAGAGUACAGAAUGUUCUCUUCUGUGAACUGAGCUUGAACUUUUCCAACCCACUUUGUUUGGGGAACCAUACAGACACAGAGGGGAAAAGAUAGGGAAGAUAACCCCCAAAUGGUUGAAAUCAUUGUGUUCUCUCUGAUUUUGGCACAGAUCGUUUGCUUUUCACUGCUCCAAAUUAAAAAUCCCAAGCAUUACAGUUCUUGGAAAAAUGGAAUGCCUGUGAUGUCUUUUCUCUAACUCAGGGCUCUGGCUUUGACUUUGGAAAUUAACAAGUCGGUCACUGUCACUCCUCAAUUUCCUUUUUUUUUUUCUCCUAGGCAUUCAAGGGACAGGGACAACAAAAGCUGUUUCCCUAUAAGGAAAAGAAAAGGUUCCCAGUGCCUGUGACUUCUCUCCCAGUUGUUCAGGCUGUCACAACAUUACAAAUAGUGUUCCCCAAUUUGCCAUAUGGCCUGAGAUUUCAUAAUGAGGGCUUUGGGUCUUUGGCCUUCAUAUACAUCACCAACAUGAGAAGCUGCCAAUGCUUGGUAAAGUGGUUUGAAAUUUAUCUUUGAAAACCAUUGUCUAGUCUUAGGCUCGAGUCUCCAGUUUGGGGAUACACGGAUAAAUGUUUAGGGGGGGCUGCUUAGAGAAUCUGAGGCAAGACCCCUAUUGGAUAGGCAGCAGUUUUCCGACUUCUUGUUAUUUUUAAUAGCAGUGGAUUCCUUUCUUUAUACGAAAACGUACCAAAAACUCGCUAGUGAAGCAGGAAGAGCACAACUUUGUGGGAGCGGAGCUGGGAAUCUGAAGUGUGAGCGCUGGAUUUGAGUCUCCUAAGCAUGGGUAUGUCUAUCAUAUUGGACAAGUCAUGUUUUCUAAAACUUGAUUGGUGAAAGGGGCAUAAAGCUUGUCUUGUGUACUUGCAGAGUCAUUUAUACGAGUUGAGUGCUAUCCCGCUGUACCGACAAAAGAGAUUCUCCUCUUGAAUUUGCAGCUCCAUCACCUACCUCAUAGUUUGGGGGCUGCUGCCUCGUGGCUCUUGCUCAUAGCUGGCAACUGGGAGAUUCCUACAAGACUAACUUUACUUCUGAGAUGAUUCUAGUUUCUCAAGAUUCCCUGCAGCCUUUUUUCUUUUUAAGUCAACGUGCCAUCAGAAUAUUGGUUAAUUAGUUCCUUCAUUCCAUAAACUUCCUUUGAAUACUUGCUAGGUUUAAGUUACUGGAUGGGAUCUAGGAGUUUGGAGAUGAGUAGAAUGUGUUCAAUGACUUCAAAGAGUUUGUUGUCCAGUGGGAGAAGCAGAAAUACACACACACAUACAUAUACAUACAUACACAUACUGCCCAUAUACACACAUAGUAUGUAUAUACAUAUGUAAUACUUACUGUAUAAAGGAAGUUGAUACAUGUUUAACGGAGCUACAAGUAAUAAACUGUGAAGGCAGAGUGUCACAGGAACAAGAUGAGGAUUCUAAUAGGUGGAAGUUGAGGCAAGAUCAGUCUAGACAGCAAAAGGAAUCAUGAAAAUUGAUGGUCUUUGUUAAUAGAAGCGUGUAGUAUAUUUGGGUAAUAAAGAGUAGUUCUUGUGGCCGAGCAGUUGAUGCUAGAGUAUGUGGGAAGAAGCAAAAUAAUAGAUUGAGCCUAAAUCAGGAUGUCCACAUCUCCCGCUUGUGCCCGUUUUAACCUUUCUUGCUAAUUUUGUAUGAAGCCUCAGAAUCCUUCUCAACACAAUUCCCCAAGAAGCCACCACUAAUCAUUUGGAGUUGGCAUUUGAGAUAAAAUCAUUUUUCAUUCCUGGCUUGGGCCUUAAAUCCCAUGCUUACAUAUUUAUAUUUUAUUUGGUUGUUCUUGGGGAAUUACUGCAUGUUUUUAAGAAUCAGAAUAUACAAAUGAAUGACAUGAUUCAACCUAUGAUUUUAUAAGGUAGCUGAUGACCACAGGAAGGAUCCGUGAGAAAGGCCAGAGAGUGGAAACUGAAACUGACUGACAACAGACUGGAAAGAGAGAGUCUGGUAAGAAGACUUCACAAAUCAUCUACAACAGCAUGAGUGGGAGGGAAAAGUAGGUUAGACGGAUAGGGCAUUGUGGAGGUAGAAAUGAUAGAACUUGCUGAUGCUGGAGGGAGAAAGAAGACUUGAUGAUAACUGAGUUUUCUCAUCUGGGUUAUGGGGAGAAGAUUGCUCUGGUCUGAACGUGUCCCCCUCCCAAUUCAUAUAGAGAAAUCCUAACUUCCAAAGAUAAUGGUAUUAGGAGGUAGGACCUUUGGGAGGGGCUUAAGUCAUGAGGUGGAGCUCCCAUGGGUGAGACCAGUGCCUUUCUUGUAAGAGAGGCUCCAGAGAGAUCCCUAGCCCCUUCUGCCAUGUGAAGAUACAACGAGAAGUCUUUGAUCCAGAAGAGGGCCCUCAGCCAACCAUGCUGGUGCCGUGAUCUUGGACUUCCAGCCUCCAGAACUGAGCCGGGAUUAAGGGACUGUGGUUUCUGCAAGUCCGCUGUCCGUCUAGGGGUUGGCAUCUUCCAGGAGAGGCUAGAGCUUGUGAGUCUCAGCUCAGCCUGAGGACCCAUGGAGAAGAACGUAAUUCCAGCUCCAAAGGCCUCUCUUGCACAGAAGAAUUUUUAGCGUUGAGAGGAAGUCUAGGAGGGCAAGAUGGCAGCCGACAACUCCAGACACUUUCUACCCUGCUCAAGACCAAUGGGAAAGAGGGCAGCCUGAGUUGCUGAAUGAACACUGCAGCCUGCAUGGAGGCUGACCAGCCCGUCCCCUCACCCCUGUGACCUCAGGAAGGGAAACUGGCAGAGCUACGCUGAAGGGGAUUAGCCAAGGCCACAGAACCCAAAUCUUCUCCUGAUUGGUGAGUGGGGUGUUAGGAAUGUGUGAAGGAGGUGACUCUGCCUAGCUCAGCCAUCUUCCAGGGACACCUCCAUGGUCACAUUGGGAUUGAGGCUCAUAAAUUUUCUGCUUGGGGUUCUUUCGCGUAGACCCAAAAGUACAUUCU
rnacentral:lncRNA from 1 species